AAGUUUGUACUUUUAAAGACUAUGGUUUCGGCCCAUAACACUGAGCUAACGCUCACAAACUUU
rnacentral:tRNA from 1 species